rnacentral:rRNA from 1 species
GACGAACGCUGGCGGCGUGCUUAACACAUGCAAGUCGAACGGAAAGGCCCAGCUUGCUGGGUACUCGAGUGGCGAACGGGUGAGUAACACGUGGGUGAUCGGCCCUGCACCCUGGGAUAAGCCUGGGAAACUGGGUCUAAUACCGGAUAUGACCGACUGUCGCAUUGUGGUUGGUGGAAAGCUUUUGCGGUGUGGGAUGGGCCCGCGGCCUAUCAGCUUGUUGGUGGGGUAAUGGCCUACCAAGGCGACGACGGGUAGCCGACCUGAGAGGGUGAUCGGCCACACUGGGACUGGGAAGCGGCCCAGAGUGCUACGGGAGGCAGCAGUGGGGAAUAGAGCACGAUGGGCGCAAGCCUGAUGCAGCGACGCCGCGUGAGGGAUGACGGCCUUCGGGUUGUAAACCUCUUUCACCAGGGACGAAGCGUGAGUGACGGUACCUGGAGAAGAAGCACCGGCCAACUACGUG